rnacentral:rRNA from 1 species
CCUACGGGAGGCAGCAGUGGGGGAUAUUGCACAAUGGGGGGAACCCUGAUGCAGCGACGCCGCGUGGGUGAAGGAGCGUUUCGGCGCGUAAAGCCCUAUCGGCAGGGAAGAAGGAGGACGGUACCUGACUAAGAAGCCCCGGCUAACUACGUGCCAGCAGCCGCGGUAAUACGUAGGGGGCAAGCGUUAUCCGGAUUUACUGGGUGUAAAGGGGGCGCAGACGGCAGCGCAAGCCAGGAGUGAAAGCCCGGGGCCCAACCCCGGGACUGCUCUUGGAACUGCGCGGCUGGAGUGCAGGAGGGGCAGGCGGAAUUCCGGGUGUAGCGGUGAAAGGCGUGGAUAUCAGGAG